UACAGAGGGGGCAAGCGUUGUUCGGAAUUACUGGGCGUAAAGGGCGCGUAGGCGGCCUGUUAAGUCGAACGUGAAAUCCCCGGGCUCAACCCGGGAACUGCGUCCGAUACUGGCAGGCUUGAAUCCGGGAGAGGGAUGCGGAAUUCCAGGUGUAGCGGUGAAAUGCGUAGAUAUCUGGAGGAACACCGGUGGCGAAGGCGGCAUCCUGGACCAAUAUUGACGCUGAGGAGCGAAAGCCAGGGGAGCAAACGGG
rnacentral:rRNA from 1 species